UCUGUACUGUCUCCUCUCUCUUUCUUUCUUCUAUCUGUUCUCUUUUUCUUCUCUCUUGGUACACAGCCCACAGUGAGAAUCGAUCAAUUCCCUGUAACCCACACUGAUGUCGACGAUUCUCAGGCCUCACGCUCAGACUGAUGUUGACCAUGCUAUGUUUUCUGGUUAUUUGUUUUCUUUGUAAAAAGAUCUGUCUUUGUCUCAGCAAUAGAAAGAUGAAUGGGAGUCUGGAUUAAGCGCAGAAAGUUCGGGCAUAGCUUAUGUCCAAUUUGGACCAAGCCUGCUAACAAGGAAGAUUGAGGAGUUUGAUGGAUCUUGAUUAAGCCUGCAGUUUAUUGACAAACAGGACAACACCAAACCGAAACUCGAUUUCUAUGAUGGGUGUACAGGCAGAGCUUGGAGGACAUACUGCCUUUGGAUUCAGAAUGGAACCCAUUAAACAUGUGGCAGGAGUGAAUUGCCUCACGUCCUGGAACUGAUUUGAGUUUGAACUACUAUCAUUUUACCUUUAUUUCACGUGUCGUUUGAGGUAGUAUUUUUAGUUAUAUAUAUGGACAAGUUAGGAUAAUAUUUUGGGUUUAUUUUUUGUUGCAUUAACACAACCCCCCCUCCCUUUUUUUGUCGCGGCUCAAGAUGAGACUAAUUAAAGAUAGGAAAACAAAUCUCCUUGAAAAUGAAUGGCUGAUUGAGAUGCGAGUGAAUUGAUAAGCUUUGAUAUGAAAGACCUUGCUACUCCUGCUAAAAAGCUUGUGAACCGUGUCAUCUAUCUUGGCAGAUGAAUCUUGGACUUUGUUGGAGGUAUAUUAUUGGGCAAUGUUAGUUUAAGACGAUUUAUUACAGAUCCUAUAGAUUAUUGGACAAUGUUAGUUUUAAAUGUUUUUUUUAAUUCUUGUCGGCUUCCUUUUACCAUAGAGUAUAUAUACUUACAGUUUCUUCAUCGUAGCUAAAUUUUGUUGAGGGUGCAUUUAAAUUGCAUACUGCAUCAUGUUUUAUCUAUUAUUUUUGUUUAUCCUCAAUUGAGGUCAAUGGGCAUUAUAUAAUACUUCACAACAUGGUGUUAGGCGAAAUGAAAAUUUGGUAACCAAGAAUCUUGGUUUUCAAUUUUUGCCAUUAUUACUGCUCCUGCUAAGCCUGUAACUAGGCAUCUGUUGAUAAUCUUCUUAUGAUGUGUCACUAAGGAACAAUAUCAAAUCUUCAAAUGGUUUACUAGAAAAGUAUAGGUAAUGUAUUUAUUUUGUAAGGUUUUGUAUUUCAAUAACUUGUUCUGAUUGUAUCUUUUUUGCACUAUUUGGGUUAUAUGUAACCUCUUAAUAUAUGUAUAGCUGUGGUUGUUUAUGUUUUGUGGCGUGUGGAGUACGGAAUUAAGAAAUCAAAGAAUUGGAAUGGGGCGAGUGAAAUUUGGGGGAAAAUUGGAACUUAGUUCCUAAUUUGGCUUGUUUUGGUGGUUAAUUAGGUGAUGGGAGGAGGAAUGCGAACCAUGACGGAGCCAAAUUAACCACCAAAAUUUUGCGUUCCUCCUGUCAUCUAAUUAACCACCAAAACAAGCCAAAUUAAGUUCUAGUUCUCCCCCAAAUUUCACUCGCCUCAUUCCAAUUCCUUGAUUUCUUAAUUCCAUACUCCACUCCACAAAACAGAAACAAACCGCCACAGCUAUGCAAACCAUGGCGGAGCAGAGAGCUAGUCUUUCUUGUUUAUUUGUUCAUUUGGUGGUUGUUUGGGGUUUGCUUGGUUGCCAAGACGUUUUGGUUGAUUGAAAGGAAGACGUUUUGGCACUUUUUUUUUUUCCCGUUAUUUUUUUGGAAAAAAAAAAGGGAGCAAAUUAAUGGAACUUAUGGUGUCUGGUUGGUUUAUAUAAUGAGUGAUUCUUUUCGGUUGUUGUGUCUUUGAGUGUGAAUCAAGGUUGGCGAAAGAUUCAGGGUAUUUCUUCAAUCUGAGGUAUUUUGAGGAUUGCGUGCUGAAUGGUGAAUGAUGUGGGAGCAUUACCUGGCUGGAUUUACUAAGGUUGAUGAAAACAGCGACUCUACGAAGAUUUUCUUUGCGAUUAGCCUUGAAGCCCUGACAGACAUAACCACGCUAAACCAGUCCAGAUUCUUCAAAGGGAUUUGAAAACUCUCUUGACAUUCGGUGAUGAGUUUUUUGAUGAAGUAUCAUCACUGUUUCUGCCGAUGGUCAUUUACAGACAUGGGCUGGAAAGGAAUGCGGAACCUUACAUUUCUUACUUUGACAGGGUUUGCACAUGUAUAUCAUUAGUUUUAUUUUUUGGACGUAUAAAAAUGACUCUUGGAACCAGUUUCUUCUUAAUUUGUAUAAAAAUGAGGGCCAUUCUGCACUGUUUACCCUUGCUGCUUUCAAAGUCAGGUCCUAGGAGGGAAAAAUGUCUUUUUUAGUAUUAACACAAACUCGAGAUCAAUUCCCAUAAUUUUAUGACAUGUAGCUAGUUAGGAGGCAUAAAAUAGUUUCAGAUUGAGCUAUGAGUGUGUGCGUCCUGUUCGUGUCUUGAUUUGGUCGUUCAUAACAUCUUCCCGUAAUUGUGAAACUCCCAGGUUUCUUUCACCAAGUACCUAUGACCAAGUUAAAAUUGGUAGUCAUAUACAAGUUAUAAUAAUUGUGAAACUCCCCUUGUUUCUUGCAUUGUUAUGUAACGCUGCCUUUUCUUGCUUGGCAUGUCGAAGGCAACUAGUGCUGUGGAUUUUGUGCCUAUUUUGAAUUGAAGUAUGCUUGCUCCGAAAAUUAUAUUAUGUGCAAGUUAGCCUAUGAGGGAAAAAUGUCUUUUUUAGUAUUAACACAAACUCGAGAUCAAUUCCCAUAAUUUUAUGACAUGUAAUUAGUUAGGAGGCAUAAAAUAGUUUCAGAUUGAGCUAUGAGUGUGUGCGUCCUGUUCGUGUCUUGAUUUUGUCGUUCAUAACAUCUUCCCGUAAUUGUGAAACUCCCAGGUUUCUUUCACCAAGUACCUAUGACCAAGUUAAAAUUGGUAGUCAUAUACAAGUUAUAAUAAUUGUGAAACUCCCCUUGUUUCUUGCAUUGUUAUGUAACGCUGCCUUUUCUUGCUUGGCAUGUCGAAGGCAACUAGUGCUGUGGAUUUUGUGCCUAUUUUGAAUUGAAGUAUGCUUGCUCCGAAAAUUAUAUUAUGUGCAAGUUAGCCUAGUUGUUUGUCUAAUAUCUUUAUUUUAUCUAUUUUUUAAAUUUCACAAUAACAUGCUUUAUUUAUUUAUUAUUUUAAAUAAAUAGAAAAACAGAAAAUCUGCUCAUGCUAGGUCCACUAGGGGUGCAAUGCUUUCUAAAGUAAAAAUGUUAAUUGAUGCAAUGUUUUGAAACUAGCUUAGCUUUAAGUGUACCGCGGUAAGGGCUAUGUUCUUUUCAUUCAAUUUCACUUUCACAACUAAGUUCUGUUUUGCUGUUGAUUUAUUUGAUAUGGUAGCAUCUUUUUUUAUAGCACCUUAUAGCAAACAGUGUUAAUAACCUUAUGUGAAACCUAAUAAAUGAUUGCUAGAUUUUGAGAUCUUGGGUCUAUCAUAACCUUGAGUUUGAAUAUUCAAUGUUAAAGCUUUUAAGACAUUUAUAUCAGAAAGUGCAACAAAAAAGUUUGGAAAGCAGUUAAAAUAUAUCGGGCCUUCCCCUAAGGUCGACUCGAUUAUUCCUAACUAAGAAUCUGUGAACUUUUUAUGUCUUCCAUCUCCUAAAUUGGAUAAACCAAG